rnacentral:lncRNA from 1 species
GCGGGGAAGCGGCGAUUGUGGGUGAGCCCGUGAGCUGCCGGCAAGGGGGAAGGCAAAGGGGCAAAGGGAUUUAGGUUAAGUUGUUCGUUCUGGUCGGGAGUCUGGACAGUUUUCGUCUCCAGGAUGAUCACAUAAGACAGCUUUAAGGUUAAUGAAACUAGACCCAAACCUAAGAGCUUUAAGCGCCAAAAAAAAUGGAAUGAAGUUUGGAUAAGAAAAAAAAUUGUAUGGAAAUUGUUUUUUAUUAUUUUGAUAAAAGAAUUGAGGACUAUAUGAUAAUUGUUUAUAAGCAUACCCAAUUUGUUUUCAAAUGCAUAAAAAAUUAUAAUAUAUA